rnacentral:rRNA from 1 species
UGGGGAAUAUUGGACAAUGGGCGCAAGCCUGAUCCAGCCAUGCCGCGUGAGUGAUGAAGGGCCUUAGGGUUGUAAAGCUCUUUCGCCGGUGAAGAUAAUGACGGUAACCGGAGAAGAAGCCCCGGCUAACUUCGUGCCAGCAGCCGCGGUAAUACGAAGGGGGCUAGCGUUGCUCGGAAUCACUGGGCGUAAAGCGCACGUAGGCGGAUCGUUAAGUCAGGGGUGAAAUCCUGGAGCUCAACUCCAGAACUGCCCUUGAUACUGGCGAUCUCGAGUUCGAGAGAGGUUGGUGGAACUCCGAGUGUAGAGGUGAAAUUCGUAGAUAUUCGGAAGAACACCAGUGGCGAAGGCGGCCAACUGGCUCGAUACUGACGCUGAGGUGCGGAAGCGUGGGGAGCAAAACAGGAUUAGAUACCCUGGUAGUCCACGCCGUAAACGAUGGAUGCUAGCCGUUGGGGGGUUUACCUCUCAGUGGCGCAGCUAACGCCUUAAGCAUCCCGCCUGGGGAGUACGGUCGCAAGAUU